CAGCAGCCGCGGGAAUACGUAGGGUGCAAGCGUUAUCCGGAAUUAUUGGGCGUAAAGAGCUCGUAGGCGGUUUGUCGCGUCUGCUGUGAAAACUGGAGGUUCAACCUCCAGCCUGCAGUGGGUACGGGCAGACUAGAGUGCGGUAGGGGAGAUUGGAAUUCCUGGUGUAGCGGUGGAAUGCGCAGAUAUCAGGAGGAACACCGAUGGCGAAGGCAGAUCUCUGGGCCGUAACUGACGCUGAGGAGCGAAAGCGUGGGGAGCGAACAGGAUUAGAUACCCGCGUAGUCCCUGUCUCUUAUAC
rnacentral:rRNA from 1 species